GCUACCAUAGCUCAGUGGUUAGAGCACUGGUCUUGUAAACCAGCGGUCGCGAGUUCGAGUCUCACUGGCGGCU
rnacentral:tRNA from 1 species